rnacentral:rRNA from 1 species
GACGAACUAUCCUAUCGUUGUUCGGAAUCACUGGGCUUAAAGGGCGCGUAGGCGGUCCGACAAGUCAGGGGUGAAAUCCUGCAGCUUAACUGCAGAAGUGCCUUUGAUACUGUCGGUCUUGAGGGAGAUAGGGGUGUGCGGAACUCACAGUGGAGCGGUGAAAUGCGUUGAUAUUGUGAGGAACGCCGGAGGCGAAAGCGGCGCACUGGAUCUCUUCUGACGCUGAGGCGCGAAAGCCAGGGGAGCAAACGGG